AUGUCUGCACGUGUCGUUCCACGGGAAAUGUUUGGUGCCGUGUCUGGGCCUGUGGCCGGGGCGCGUCUGGCUCGUGUCGCGUCUCUUUAACUGUGAGGCACACGCUCUGAUCUCCCGGCUAGCACGGAGGGGGCCCUGGCCUCCGCCUGGUCGCUGGAAUGGAACCGGCCGUGGGGGGCACGAGGGCGGGGGUCCACGGGCUGGUCCACAGCCCGUCACAUCCUGGAGGGAGGCUCUGGGCCCUUUGCCUCCGUCCCCCGCUUCUCACGGGCCGCUAUUUCCUCUGUGUUUCCUGAAGCCCCACAGGCCUUUCCGGUGUCAGGUCCCCCAGGAUUUCCCGGCAGACCCGAGCUCACCGGUCUGGAGCCUCGGGCACUGGAUCUGGAGGGUCCGGAAUCCCCGUAGCUGUGGCUCUCACAUCUUUGCUCACCCGGCGCCCACCCGCCCGGACCGUCUGGGGAGGGUCUCCGCCUCUGCCCUUUCCCUGGGGAGGCCGCACCUGGGGCCCUCCGGGAGAACCGGGGGCAUGGUGCCCACUGUGACCACGGACCUCGCCAAGCAGGACGCCCGGAGCCCGUGGACACGCCGUGCCUGGCUGUGCUGGACGGGCUUCUCCUUUCGCUGGAAUGGAAAGGAUGACGUUAGGCUGAACUGAGUGGCCCCGAAAUUGACAGAGUCGAACCGGAGCUCAAAUGUGGAAAGAGAAAAAGAGAAAGAGGAAAAGCCUGCUUUGGAGGAUCCAGAAUAAUAUCCCCGAACUCCGUCAGUAACGGCACUAAGUCCCGAACCAAGCCAGCAGCAAAACCCGCAAUGCGGAACGCUGGCAGUCCGGGGUCAGACCAGACUGAGAUGCCGCGAACCGAGAAGCCGUGCGGGGCCCUUCCAAUAAAAACGUCGAGGACGUCA
rnacentral:lncRNA from 1 species